UUUGUGUGCAUAUGUUGUUGCAAUUCGGACCUAAAAAUCUACAUUUUCGUUGUCUUUAAAGCCCCUUAUCUUAUUUUCGACUAUCAGAAUUAGUGCUUCCAAUUUUGAUGCGAAGAUGUCGAAUAUACUCUUCGAAGGGUAUAAAUGCUCAAACCACCAAACAAUGCUGGCUAAAAUCGCGCACUAUAAGCAAGCCACAGCGCAAAAUUUUGUAGUUGGAGUAUCCAAAACAUUGGACAACAAUGUCCAAAAUGGAGUGAAGAUUGACCGCAAUGUUAAGGGGUACGGUCGCGAUCUUCACUGGUACCAAGCGGAGUUCGUGUGCGUCUACAGUGUAAAGCACCAGAAAAAGACAGACCCAAGACGUUUUCCUUCUACACAAUUUCUCUUUUCGAUGAUGAAUAUAGCUCCAGAACUCUUAGCGAUAUGUUAAAAAAUGAUUGUAAUUUCGAGUCAUCUGCAACUCAUCAGAACGAGGAAGUAGUGGAUAUAGUACCUGACUAAUCUUCUGUUAGUAGAAGCUGUAGCACUAAUAAUAAUAGUAGUAGUAGCAGCAAUAGAAGGACCUCGAGUGAACAUACUGGCAUGACCAACAGUGAUGACGAUGCGUAGAUCCUAAAUCCAAAUGAGGAACAGAAAGGCCAUGAAGAUGAUGGUGAUGAUGAUGAUUGUUCUCCGAAGGCAAAAAGGAGGAGAAUGCAAUCAAAUGCAUUCACUGACAAAUCACUCAAGGAACAAUUAGAGAUACUCUUGUAUUGGGUGCUGAAAAGAGAAAAAGUUCGUGAAAUAUUGCUCUCCGAGUUAUCGACAGGGCGGAAAUUAUGAAUUUGCGAACUGGAAUGGGAUCCUGAUCAGCUGCCUCAACCACUGAUGACCGCCGAAAUUGAACUGUUAUAGCCGUACUGUUACCAGAACGCAUUCAAAUCUUUGCAGAAAGCUUUAAAAUCUCCACUACAGACAAACGGCUAUUUUUGCGAUGACUGUUUUAUGAGCAUGCUUAAUAUGGAGGCAAUAUUGUGCGAGGCGUGUUUAUUUUGCCACCACUAUGAGUGUCAGGACAUAAACACAUCAAAUAUAC